GCCCAUUUGGUGAAAUUGGUAAACACGAUAGACUUAAAAUCUAUUCCCUAUGGGUUAUCGGUUCAAGUCCGAUAGUGGGCA
rnacentral:tRNA from 1 species